UGGCUCAGUUGGUAGAGCAUGGUGUGUGCAACGCCUGGGUUGUGGGUUCGAUUCCCAC
rfam:Salmo salar isolate Sally breed double haploid chromosome ssa06, whole genome shotgun sequence.